AGAGUUUGAUCCUGGCUCAGAACGAACGCUGGCGGCGUGCCUAACACAUGCAAGUCGAGCGAGAAAGGGACUUCGGUCCUGAGUAAAGCGGCGCACGGGUGCGUAACACGUGGGUAAUCUUCCUCCGGGUUGGGAAUAACCCUUCGAAAGGAGGGCUAAUACCGAAUCAGCCCACGAUCUCCUCGGAGAUUGAGGGAAAA
rnacentral:rRNA from 1 species